CUACGGACUUAGAAAACUGAGCCUCAAUGGAGAAAUCCGUUGAGUGAACGCUCUCAAAUUCAGGGAAACCUAAGUCGGGAAACAUCCGAUAGGGCAAUCCUGAGCCAAGCCAGAAAAAUGAAGCGUGCGGAUUAAAAAUUUUUGAACAACGAUGUCAAAGGUGUUUAGUCCCCAGUUUCAAAAGUCUGGAAGGUGCAGAGACUCGACGGGAGCUACCCAACCGCCAGAUAGCCGAAACCGCAGUGUUUGGCGCGGGUAAAGGGAGAGUCCAAUUCUCAAAG
rnacentral:ncRNA from 1 species